rnacentral:rRNA from 1 species
UACGGAGGGUGCAAGCGUUAUCCGGAUUUACUGGGUUUAAAGGGUGUGUAGGCGGGCUUUUAAGUCAGUGGUGAAAUCUCCGGGCUCAACCUGGAAACUGCCAUUGAUACUAUUAGUCUUGAAUUUUGUUGAGGUAGGCGGAAUAAGUCAUGUAGCGGUGAAAUGCAUAGAUAUGACUUAGAACACCAAUUGCGAAGGCAGCUUGCUAAACAAAUAUUGACGCUGAGGCACGAAGCGUGGGAUCAAACAGG